rnacentral:lncRNA from 1 species
UAGGAAGUUCAUUCCAGUUCUGCAAGGUGUCUGCUUUCAGAAUGGAGCCCACUUUGGUGGUGGCAAGGCCUGGCUGAGUUCUUUCAAAGCAACAUCCAACUUCUCUUUGCUCUUUGACUUCCUCCAGAUUCUCUCCUGUGCUGGAGGUAAUAAGGGUUGCACUUCCCUCUUUACUUACACUGGUGAAACAUGCAGUGAGGAUUCAAGGUCAAAAUUGGGUCAAAGUUAAACUAACACAGUCUCCUGCCCCACUUACCUGUCCUCUAACCCCAUCCACCAGCCCUAAGUGGUCAUCACAUGAUCAGAAGUCAGCUGGGGGAAGAGCAGGGAUAGAUAGAGCAAUUAAGGAGCCUCUUUUGGGGUAAGCCACAUGACAGGGGCUUUGCAACAGUCUUUCAUGAGUGGCCGAAAUCCCCCACUCACUGCAAAUGUGCUUCUCAAAGAUGCAGGAUUUUUUAAUAAACAGAGGAAAUGAUAAAUUAUGUUGUAAUUCCACUCCAAAGGCAUUUGGUUCUUAACAGCCAAAUCCUCUGUAGUCUUUAAAUAAACAAAAACUUAUUUGGUGAACAGACAGGGAGGAAAAUGAAAGAUUUUCUGUACUUGGGUUCCACAUGUCAACAAUUUCUCUCCUGUGUGUAUGUUGGCCAAAGCUGUAUCAUGAUAAAUGAAUAAAGGAAAACCUCGAGCCCAGGGCAGUCAGACAGCUCA